CUUUUAACCUAAUAGAGCCAUGCUUUUAACGGUCGCAGGUGUAAACAAAGAUGCUGCAUUUAGGAUCAAAGGGCAGGGACCAUGGAGACGGUAACAAACACAGAGGUGUGCGUGUGGAUGUUUCAAGCUUUCAUGCUCUCUGCAAGAUUUUGUAGCCUGGCUGCAAGGACACGAACAUUACUGAGGUCAGACGCCGGCG